AUCUGUCGUCUGUAUAUUCGACGUCCAGUCUGUCUGAUGAGAUUUUGAGUAGGUUUAAUAUUAAGGUGGUCGAUGAUAGUAUUUUGGGAUUAGUAAGUUCGAUUCCUAGUGAAUUUGUUCCAGGUAGUGAUGAUGAGAGGAAGGUACAGAGGAAUUGGGACUCUCCGUUGGUCAAUAGCAAGUUUAGUGGGAUGUUUGAAUCUGGUGAAUCUGUUGAUCGGAUAACGCCGCGACAUGAUUCUGUAAACAGAGAGUUUUCUCAUGCUUUUUCUGCUGCAGAUUUUCCAACUUUGUUACAGCCACCAGGAAUUUCUAGAGAUGACGGUAAAAGACCUGAUGGUAUGACUCUAAUUCCGUGGAGUCAUGGUAAAUCUCUUUUAUGGGAUGUGACAGUGCGUGAUACGUUGGCUCCUUCAUACAUUGGUGAAACUUCUAAAAAAGCACGCUCAGUUGCAGAGAAAGCGGAGAGAUUAAAGCAUAAUCAUUAUAGAAAACUUAAAGAAAAUUAUUUAUUCACCCCGCUUGCUUUUGAAUCUUUAGGUUGCAUGGGCCCAGAAACAAA